rnacentral:rRNA from 1 species
UACAGAGGUCUCAACCGUUGUUCGGAUUCAUUGGGCGUAAAGGGCGCGUAGGCGGCCACCGCAAGUCGACUGUGAAAUCUCCGGGCUUAACCCGGAAAGGUCAGCCGAUACUGCGGGGCUAGAGUGCAGAAGGGGCAACUGGAAUUCUCGGUGUAGCGGUGAAAUGCGUAGAUAUCGAGAGGAACACCUGCGGCGAAGGCGGGUUGCUAGGCUGACACUGACGCUGAGGCGCGAAAGCUAGGGGAGCGAACGGG